AUGGCGGAGUCGCCCGAGAACGCCGCCGCGGCGCCCGCCGCUCCUCCCGCCCCCGCCCCGGCCCCGGCGCCGGCGCCGAAGCCGUCCCCGCCCGCCAGGUCCGGGAUCCCGCCGCGGUACGACCUCGACGCCAAGUGGGACGCCUGCCUCGACCUCUCCAUCCGCCGCGUCGCCUACUCCUCCCUCGCCGGCGCCUUCGGGGGCCUCAUCCUCUUCCGUAGCCCAACAACCCGCUGGGCAUCAGUUGCACUUGGAGCUGGUGUGGGGAUAGGGGCUGCGUUCACUGAAUGCUCAUACAUAUUCAAUGGUUCUCCUCCAAAGUGGUCGGCCAAUGCUUCGACUGUUGCUGCUCAUUCUGAAGUAACUGCUUUCUCACUUUGUCCUUAUUGUACUGUUAGUUUGUUGGUUAAAAUUUAUGUUCAGCAUGUCCAUAUGGUUGAUACCAAAUUGCCAAAUAUGGUGUUCAUUUUUUAUUUCUCCUUGUUGUAA
rnacentral:rRNA from 1 species